rnacentral:rRNA from 1 species
AGUGAACGCUGGCGGCGUGCCUAAUACAUGCAAGUCGAACGGACAAGUAAGAGCUUGCUCUUAUGAGUUAGUGGCGCACGGGUGAGUAAUGUAUAGCUAAUCUGCCCUACACUAGAGGACAACAGUUGGAAACGGCUGCUAAUACUCUAUAAUCCUGUCUUACAUAAGUUAGAUAGGGAAAGUUUUUCGGUGUAGGAUGAGGCUAUAUUGUAUCAGCUAGUUGGUGAGGUAAUGGCUCACCAAGGCUAUGACGCAUAACUGGUCUGAGAGGAUGAUCAGUCACACUGGAACUGAGACACGGUCCAGACUCCUACGGGAGGCAGCAGUAGGGAAUAUUGCUCAAUGGGGGAAACCCUGAAGCAGCAACGCCGCGUGGAGGAUGACACUUUUCGGAGCGUAAACUCCUUUUGUUAGGGAAGAAUAAGACGGG